rnacentral:tRNA from 1 species
GGAGAGAUGGGAGAGUGGCUUAAUCCAACGGUUUGCUAAACCGUCGUACGGGUUAAACUGUACCGGGGGUUCGAAUCCCCCUCUCUCCGCCA